CCUACGGGUGGCAGCAGUGGGGAAUAUUGCACAAUGGGGGAAACCCUGAUGCAGCGACGCCGCGUGAGCGAAGAAGUAUUUCGGUAUGUAAAACCCUGUUGUUAGAGAAGAAAGUGCGUGAGAGUAACUGUUCACGUUUCGACGGUAUCUAACCAGAAAGCCACGGCUAACUACGUGCCAGCAGCCGCGGUAAUACGUAGGUGGUAAGCGUUAUCCGGAUUUAUUGGGCGUAAAGGGAACGCAGGCGGUCUUUUAAGUCUGAUGUGAAAGCCUUCGGCUUAACCGGAGUAGUGCAUUGGAAACUGGGAGGCUUGAGUGCAGAAGAGGAGAGUGGAACUCCAUGUGUAGCGGUGAAAUGCGUAGAUAUAUGGAAGAACACCAGUGGCGAAAGCGGCUCUCUGGUCUGUAACUGACGCUGAGGUUCGAAAGCGUGGGUAGCAAACAGGAUUAGAUACCCUGGUAGUC
rnacentral:rRNA from 1 species